rnacentral:rRNA from 1 species
GACAGAAGGGAGCUUGCUCCCGGAUGUUAGCGGCGGACGGGUGAGUAACACGUGGGUAACCUGCCUGUAAGACUGGGAUAACUCCGGGAAACCGGAGCUAAUACCGGAUAGUUCCUUGAACCGCAUGGUUCAAGGAUGAAAGACGGUUUCGGCUGUCACUUACAGAUGGACCCGCGGCGCAUUAGCUAGUUGGUGAGGUAACGGCUCACCAAGGCGACGAUGCGUAGCCGACCUGAGAGGGUGAUCGGCCACACUGGGACUGAGACACGGCCCAGACUCCUACGGGAGGCAGCAGUAGGGAAUCUUCCGCAAUGGACGAAAGUCUGACGGAGCAACGCCGCGUGAGUGAUGAAGGUUUUCGGAUCGUAAAGCUCUGUUGUUAGGGAAGAACAAGUGCAAGAGUAACUGCUUGCACCUUGACGGUACCUAACCAGAAAGCCACGGCUAACUACGUGCCAGCAGCCGCGGUAAUACGUAGGUGGCAAGCGUUGUCCGGAAUUAUUGGGCGUAAAGGGCUCGCAGGCGGUUUCUUAAGUCUGAUGUGAAAGCCCCCGGCUCAACCGGGGAGGGUCAUUGGAAACUGGGAAACUUGAGUGCAG